GAUCAUGGCUCAGGAUGAACGCUAGCUACAGGCUUAACACAUCCAAGUCGAGGGGCAGCGGGAUUGAAGCUUGCUUCAAUUGCCGGCGACCGGCGCACGGGUGAGUAACGCGUAUCCAACCUUCCGUACACUCAGGGAUAGCCUUUCGAAAGAAAGAUUAAUACCUAAUGGUAUCUUAAGCACACAUGUAAUUAAGAUUAAAGAUUUAUCGGUGUACGAUGGGGGUGCGUUCCAUUAGGUAGUAGGCGGGG
rnacentral:rRNA from 1 species